GGUACCACGAGAGAAAUAUCUUGUGGGAAAAUAGAUGUUACACUCAAGACACCGACAAACACCGAAAGAUGCCAGUUAAAAGUUUGGAGGGAAAUUUCCCGCAUGGUAAAAUUGGAUGAAAACAUAGGUGGGAAAAUCUAUGAUGAGGAAAGAUUUCAACGAAGUUGUUUUAUGCUAUGUUUUUUAAUGAAUAUUUAUCGGUGAAUAUUCUAGUUUUGCCAACAGCCAGGAAAGCGGCGAAAAAAGUCACUCGUAAUGUACAGACCAGACUGCCUACUUCUCCACCAUUUCUGCAUUUUCUGUAAAACUCUCAUCUAUUUCAUUCUCACUCAAGUCCGAACAUCUCGAAAAACCCUCAUUGUCCAUCAAUUCCUCUGUCAAUCUCCAUCUCCAUCUCAAUCUCAAAAUCCCCAAAAUCCAUUAAUUUCGUAAAACCCCCCAACCUUCACCACCAUUACCGUAGCACCUCCGUUCCUUGUCCAAGCCACCACCCGCUGGCAUUGACCUCUGCUACGACAUCAUCUCAGAUUUGCAAGAAGGAGCAAAUUGAGGAUUUGUAUUGAUAUUUGGAAUUAGUUAAUUUUCAAGUAUAUGAUUUUUGUUGAUAAUUAUUUUGUGUUGAAUUUUUAUUGUAUAUAUAAUUUUAAUAUUUGUGAAGAAUAUAAUUUUUGUUAAUAAUAUUUACUUUGUUGUUGUUUUAGAUGGUCUAGGUUUGUUGGGUGCAUGUUUAAAAAUUUUCAGAUAGGUCAAAUUUAAAUUGUUAUGUUGCCGAAAUUUUAUUCCAUAAAUUAAAUUAUAAACUUUAAAUUAAUUAUUUUUAAAAAAUUAAAAUUAAUUAUAAAAGUCUUUUGCAAUUACAUAAACUUUCAUUUAUAAAUAUAGUGAAAUUUAAAAUAGUUAUUAGUUUUGAAUUAAUAUUUUGAAAAGUCAUUAAUUGACAAUUUUAAUUAGACAAAAUAUUUUACAAACUCAAAACUAAUCUUGAUUUAUGUUUUCUAUUAUUGUGUUCGUACUGGCAAGUCAAAUAAUAAUUUAUUGAGCAUUUUUUUCUUUAAAUAAAUUACUACGCUGACUUAAAAUAUUUUUUACAAAUAUUCUUGAAGUUAUUCUUGAUUGUGCAAUUAGGUCUCAUCAGAAAUUUUAUAAAUUGUUAUGAUCAUUUUAUUUAUAGAAUUAUUUUUCAUUAAAUAAAAUAUCUCUUUCCUUAUUUAAAAAUAAGACUUUUCUGAAAUAAAAUAAACAUUUGUGGUAUAUUUUUAUUUUGUGUAUCUCUAAACAAAUUAUUACAAGAUAUGAAAUAUUCUGAGAAAAUUUUGAACCAAGAAUGAAUUUGGUGUGCCUGUUUUUCCAAAUAUAUCAUAGCUGUUGAGACAUUAUAACAAUCUGUCAACACAAUUUGCCAUUCUGUCGUAAUAGAAUCUUGCAAAUUAGCAGAAAUUUCUAAAUAAAGAAUUUGUAUAAUUCUUUCUUUAAUGAUUGUAGAUUUUAUGGAGUGCAUUUUAGCUAUAAAUAGAGAACAAAGCAGCCAAAAAUAUUUUUCUGUUUCACUUCUCAUUUUUUAAUACCAUUUGUAUUUUUGAGAUAAAUUUUUUUUUUGUAAGAUUAAGAGUUGAUACCUAAAUGUAGUAUCUAGGAGCUAUGUGAAUCCAUUUGUAUUCAUCUAUUUCGUGUAGAAGUGUCUAUCAUUCAUUGAUAACGAGUUCAACAAUCUUCGGGAGAAGAUUUCGCUAAAACUUUCUUCGGGAGGAAGAAAGUAUUCAUCAACCUUGUGAAGAGAGUUCAAGAGCGUUGGUGUCUCAUCAAGAAACUGGAUUUUUUUGAAGUGUGUUCAAAAGCUUGCGACAUAAGUAUAAAUGGAGUCUAUCUAUAUAUAAGUCAAUUGUGCUUUUGUACUUUGUGAUACCUUACUAAUCAGUUUAAUCUCAGGGUGUGGCCUUGUGGACUUGGUUUUCCGAACCAUGUAAAAAAUCUCUGGUGAUGAUUUUUUAUAGUCCUUUUUAUUUCUGUUA